UAAGGAAUAUUGGACAAUGGGGGCAACCCUGAUCCAGCGAUGCCGCGUGUGCGAAGAAGGCCUGCGGGUUGUAAAGCACUUUAGUUGGGGAAGAAAGUUUGAGACAUGAAUAAGGUUUCAAUUUGACGUUACCCAAAGAAUAAGCACCGGCUAACUCUGUGCCAGCAGCCGCGGUAAUACAGAGGGUGCGAGCGUUAAUCGGAAUUACUGGGCGUAAAGGGCGCGUAGGCGGUUAUAUAAGUUAGAGGUGAAAUCCCCGGGCUCAACCUGGGAACGGCCUUUAAGACUGUAUGACUAGAGUAGAGUAGAGGGGAGUGGAAUUUCCGGUGUAGCGGUGAAAUGCGUAGAUAUCGGAAAGAACAUCAGUGGCGAAGGCGGCUCUCUGGACUCAUACUGACGUUGAGGCGCGAAAGCGUGGGUAGCAAACAGG
rnacentral:rRNA from 1 species